GAGACUAUCAGGUAGAUAGGGCAGAGGUGGAAGCAUGGUAACAUGUGGAGCUGACUGUUACUAAUCGGUCGAAGGCUUGACCAA
rnacentral:rRNA from 1 species